GAUGAACGCUGGCGGCGUGCUUAAUACAUGCAAGUCGAGCGAAGCGCUUUAACGGAAUUCUCCGGAAGGAAGGUAAAGUGACUGAGCGGCGGACGGGUGAGUAACGCGUGGGUAACCUGCCUUAUACAGGGGGAUAACAGUUAGAAAUGGCUGCUAAUACCGCAUAAGCGCACAGGGCCGCAUGGCCCGGUGUGAAAAACUCCGGUGGUAUAAGAUGGACCCGCGUCUGAUUAGCUGGUUGGUGGGGUAACGGCCCACCAAGGCGACGAUCAGUAGCCGGCCUGAGAGGGUGAACGGCCACAUUGGGACUGAGACACGGCCCAG
rnacentral:rRNA from 1 species